AUUGUAGUCAUAUGCUUGUCUCAAAGAUUAAGCCAUGCAUGUCUAAGUAUAAACAUAUUUGUACUGUGAAACUGCGAAUGGCUCAUUAUAUCAGUUAUUAUUUAUUUGAUGGUACCUUACUACUUGGAUAACCGUGGUAAUUCUAGAGCUAAUACAUGCUAAAAAUCCCGACUUUUGGAAAGGAAGGAUUUAUUAAAAAAAAAACCAACCGGGGGAACCUGCUCCUUGGGGAAUCCUGAUAACUUUUCAAAUAUCAUGCGCUUGCGCUGACGAUAGAUCAUUUUCAUUUCUGCCCCCUAUCCUUUCUAUGCGGGGAUGGAGGGCACUACCGGGUUUUACACGGAAGACAGAAAAAUAGGUCUAUACCCGAGAGAGAGACUGAGAAAAACGUACCCCAUCUCCAGAAAGGGCAAGGCGCGCAAAUUACCCCCUCCUAUGACACGGAGAGGGAGACAAUAAAUAACACUAUACCGGUCUUACUAAGGUUGGGAUUGGAAUGAGAACACUAUAAAUCCCCCUUAAAGAAAU
rnacentral:rRNA from 1 species